UACGUAGGUGGCAAGCGUUGUCCGGAUUUACUGGGCGUAAAGAGCGCGCAGGCGGUCGUUCAAGUCGCGUGUGAAAGCCCCCGGCUCAACUGGGGAGGGUCACGCGAUACUGAUCGACUCGAAGGCAGGAGAGGGUAGUGGAAUUCCCGGUGUAGUGGUGAAAUGCGUAGAUAUCGGGAGGAACACCAGUGGCGAAGGCGACUACCUGGCCUGUUUCUUGACGCUGAGGCGCGAAAGCUAGGGGAGCAGACGGG
rnacentral:rRNA from 1 species